rnacentral:rRNA from 1 species
GACGAACGCUGGCGGCGUGCUUAACACAUGCAAGUCGAACGCUGAAGCUCAGCUUUUGUUGGGUGGAUGAGUGGCGAACGGGUGAGUAACACGUGAGUAACCUGCCCCCUUCUUUGGGAUAACGCCCGGAAACGGGUGCUAAUACUGGAUAUUCACUGGUCUUCGCAUGGGGGUUGGUGGAAAGGGUUUUUCUGGUGGGGGAUGGGCUCGCGGCCUAUCAGCUUGUUGGUGGGUGAUGGCCUACCAAGGCUUUGACGGGUAGCCGGCCUGAGAGGGUGACCGGUCACAUUGGGACUGAGAUACGGCCCAGACUCCUACGGGAGGCAGCAGUGGGGAAUAUUGCACAAUGGGCGCAAGCCUGAUGCAGCGACGCCGCGUGAGGGAUGGAGGCCUUCGGGUUGUGAACCUCUUUCGCUCAUGGUCAAGCCGCAACAAUGGUUGUGGUGAGGGUAGUGGGUAAAGAAGCGCCGGCUAACUACGU